GAGGGUAUAACUCAGUGGUAGAGGUCAUGCCUAGCACGUAUGAGGUCCUGGGUUCAGUCCCCAGUACCUCCA
rnacentral:tRNA from 1 species